rnacentral:rRNA from 1 species
GACGAACGCUGGCGGCGUGCCUAAUACAUGCAAGUUGAGCGCUGAAGGUUGGUACUUGUACCAACUGGAUGAGCAGCGAACGGGUGAGUAACGCGUGGGGAAUCUGCCUUUGAGCGGGGGACAACAUUUGGAAACGAAUGCUAAUACCGCAUAAAAACUUUAAACACAAGUUUUAAGUUUGAAAGAUGCAAUUGCAUCACUCAAAGAUGAUCCCGCGUUGUAUUAGCUAGUUGGUGAGGUAAAGGCUCACCAAGGCGAUGAUACAUAGCCGACCUGAGAGGGUGAUCGGCCACAUUGGGACUGAGACACGGCCCAAACUCCUACGGGAGGCAGCAGUAGGGAAUCUUCGGCAAUGGACGAAAGUCUGACCGAGCAACGCCGCGUGAGUGAAGAAGGUUUUCGGAUCGUAAAACUCUGUUGGUAGAGAAGAACGUUGGUGAGAGUGGAAAGCUCAUCAACUGACGGUAACUACCCAGAAAGGGACGGCUAACUACGUG